AACUUUUAAAAAUUGUAUACACAAAGCAUAUAUACAUAUGGUAUUCAUGUGUGUAUGUAUACGCGUGUGUUUAUGCAUUUUUACGUUUACAUAAUACUAGUUUAAUUUUUUAAUCUCUUUCUAAUAAUAACAGAAACAUUCUGUAUUUAAUAAUGUAAAAACAAGUACACAAACUGUAUCUUAUUGUUUUUUUAGUGACAAUUGAUAAAAAUAGUAUAAAAAAUCCAGUUUUUAGUAUUUUUGAAAAACCUUCAAUUCCGUUUACUCCAGAUAAUAAAUACAACUCAAUUAGCUACGGUUACAAAAGAGAAAAAACUAUUUUUUUUUUUUUUUUACCACUAUAUAAAAUUAUGUAGCUGUUUAAUUAUAGUUUUUUUUCUAAUAUUAUAAUUCAUUUUUAUAAUUUGUACUUUUUUUAUUUCAUAUUUUUUUUUUUUUUCUUUUCUUUUUUAAAACCAUACAUAUAUAUAACACAAUACUGUGUGUAUAUAUUUUACUUUAGGACGAAUGGCAUAUUUUUUAGUAUUCGAUCUUACAAAUGAAGAAACAUUUGAAUAUGUUAAGACAAUUUAUUUAAACAUGUCAAAUAUUUAUGAUAAAUAUUAUUCUCUAAAGCCGUUUAUAUCUCUUGUUGGAAAUAAAUCAGAUUUGGUAAAGAAGAUUGUGAAUUAGUUAGGCAAGCAGAACACUUCGCGUGAGUAUAGUUUUUAAUUAUUAUUUAACUUAAAAAAAUAUAUAACAUAUAAACAUAUGCAUAUAAACAUGUACAUAUAAACAUAUACAUAUACAUAAAUAUAUAUAUACGUAUUAACAU
rnacentral:lncRNA from 1 species